rfam:Bombyx mori DNA, contig: Bm_scaf65_contig30042, strain: p50T/Dazao, build 2, whole genome shotgun sequence.
UUAACUCAAAUUUGUAUGGAGUUGGAAAGUUUGCUUACGUUUGCCGCUAGGGGCGCUGUUCCAACUGCAUACAAAUUUGAAUUA